rnacentral:rRNA from 1 species
CCUACGGGGGGCUGCAGUAGGGAAUCUUCCGCAAUGGACGAAAGCCUGACGGAGCAACGCCGCGUGAGCGAAGAAGGUCUUCGGAUCGUAAAGCUCUGUUGUUAGGGAAGAACAAGUACGGGAGGAAAUGACCGUACCUUGACGGUACCUGACGAGGAAGCCACGGCUAACUACGUGCCAGCAGCCGCGGUAAUACGUAGGUGGCAAGCGUUGUCCGGAAUUAUUGGGCGUAAAGCGCGCGCAGGCGGUCUUUUAAGUCUGAUGUGAAAUCUUGCGGCUCAACCGCAAGCGGUCAUUGGAAACGGGGAGAGUUGAGUGCAGAAGAGGAAAGCGGAAUUCCACGUGGAGGGGGGAAAGGCGUAGAGAUGUGGAGGAACACCGGGGGCGAAGGGGGCUUUUUGGUCUGUAACUGACGCUGGGGGGCGAAAGCGUGGGGAGCAAACAGGAUUAGAUACCCUAGUAGUC